rnacentral:rRNA from 1 species
UACGGGGGGGGCAAGCGUUGUUCGGAAUUACUGGGCGUAAAGGGCUCGUAGGCGGCCAACUAAGUCAGACGUGAAAUCCCUCGGCUUAACCGGGGAACUGCGUCUGAUACUGGAUGGCUUGAGUUUGGGAGAGGGAUGCGGAAUUCCAGGUGUAGCGGUGAAAUGCGUAGAUAUCUGGAGGAACACCGGUGGCGAAGGCGGCAUCCUGGACCAACACUGGCGCUGAGUGAGCGAAAGCCAGGGGAGCAAACGGG